rnacentral:rRNA from 1 species
UUACCUACGGGGGGCAGCAGUGGGGAAUUUUCCGCAAUGGGCGAAAGCCUGACGGAGCAAUGCCGCGUGGAGGUGGAAGGCCUACGGGUCGUCAACUUCUUUUCUCGGAGAAGAAACAAUGACGGUAUCUGAGGAAUAAGCAUCGGCUAACUCUGUGCCAGCAGCCGCGGUAAGACAGAGGAUGCAAGCGUUAUCCGGAAUGAUUGGGCGUAAAGCGUCUGUAGGUGGCUUUUCAAGUCCGCCGUCAAAUCCCAGGGCUCAACCCUGGACAGGCGGUGGAAACUACCAAGCUGGAGUACGGUAUG